rnacentral:rRNA from 1 species
UGGGGUAUAUUGCACAAUGGGCGAAAGCCUGAUGCAGCGACGCCGCGUGGGGGAUGAAGGCCUUCGGGUUGUAAACUUCUUUUGCUCUGAACAAGGCGCACCAUGGGGUGUGUUGAGUGUAGGGGUUGAUUAGCGCCGGCUAACUACGUGCCAGCAGCCGCGGUAAUACGUAGGGCGCGAGCGUUGUCCGGAAUUAUUGGGCGUAAAGGGCUUGUAGGUGGCUGGUUGCGUCUGUCGUGAAAGCUCAUGGCUUAACUGUGGGUUUGCGGUGGGUACGGGCUGGCUUGAGUGCAGUAGGGGAGGCUGGAAUUCCUGGUGUAGCGGUGGAAUGCGCAGAUAUCAGGAGGAAUACCGGUGGCGAAGGCGGGUCUCUGGGCUGUUACUGACACUGAGGAGCGAAAGCAUGGGGAGCGAACAGG